rnacentral:rRNA from 1 species
UACGGGGGGAGCAAGCGUUGUUCGGAUUUACUGGGCGUAAAGGGCGCGUAGGCGGCCACCGCAAGUCGGUUGUGAAAUCUCUGGGCUUAACCCAGAAAGGUCAACCGAUACUGCGGGGCUAGAGUGCAGAAGGGGCAACUGGAAUUCUCGGUGUAGCGGUGAGAUGCGUAGAUAUCGAGAGGAACACCUGCGGCGAAGGCGGGUUGCUGGGCUGAUACUGACGCUGAAGCGCGAAAGCUAGGGGAGCGAACGGG